GGCUGGAUAGACAGCAUGGUGCCCAGACUUGGUGACGCUCAGAAACCAACCCAAGACAAUGUAAAUCCUAUCCGCCCUCAUAAAAGGACAACACCAGGAUUUAAGGAUUACCACGGGGAACGUGACCUCCCCUUUGUCAUGUAUGUUUGUCAAGUGUUCGUCUAUGUUAUGUGUCAAACAUUAACAGAACGGGACAGGCUACCGUUCACCCCAACGCUUUGGCUAUCCCUCAACAAGAGAGAGAAGGACCAGAGCUCACCAGGAACCCAGGCCUACUGUUUGACGAAGGAAUACGUACUUUCUUUCCAACUCCAAUGUUGCAUGGAAAGCAGAAGCAGGAGAAGACGAGUAGAGAAACUGAGUAAACGAUGCAUUGACGACUGUAAGGCCUACUGAAUGAUAUCUACAGAGGUUGGAUGCGGAAGGUCACCAUUUAUGUUUUCUGCCCAUGCAUACAUAACGUGUAUAGACGAAGCACUCUUUCUCCCAUGUUUGCAUGAGUUUCAUAUAUCCCUUGUGUCAUAGAUUUAACCAUUUGAUGCUUGAAAUAGUCAUACACCUUAGCAUGGAAAAGGAGUGGCGCUAUGCUGUAGGAUUUAAAUCUUGACAUACAGAUAACUUAAACGAUACCUACAUUUGACAACAGGGAGCACGAUACAUUCACCCCAUGGCGUACAACAUCAGCUAUAUCAACCGAUGAUUUGGGUAUAAUACAUGAUGAUGGUUAUGGUGGGUGAAAUGGAACCUCAAAAAUGGAUCACUUCUCAGUGUCGGAGCAUCUUGCCAGAACUCGCUACGCCCAUAUAUGGCUUCGAUUCCACUUCCCCACCAAUAAAUACGUAAAGAUUUUAGUUCUAAAGUGUUGGACCCUCAAUUCACUUGCAUUGAGCAGGCUUGCAAAUUAAGAAACGGACAUCUUAAGAGCAAAAAUGUCCAGGUACUCUAUCAAAAACUUUCAUAAAAUCUAAUUGCAAAUUGAUCAGGAAGUACAUUUCCCAUUUAUGCGCUUGUAAGUCCCGUUCCCAUUGGUCACACCCCAUAGCGUAGUAGCAGUUAGUACAGGAAACAGUUAAGCCAUUUCCUUAGCGCAGCGAGACAUUGCAAUCACAGAAAAGCACUGUGAACAUGACACCCAGAACACUGACAGUUGUACCUGUGGUGAAGGUGUUCGUUAAGGCCUUUGCAGCUGGGUGUUUACCCUGCGGAUAACGGAUGAGGCAGAUGUGCUGCCACAGACACACCCAGCUGUAACAAAGGCACAAGCAAGUGAAUAUAAUGUAAGUAACAGACGUGUUAUAUUUGUAUUUUGUAGCCUGCUCAAUGCAACUGAAUGGAGGCUCAAAAGGAGCCUAGGUGAAACUAUAUAUUUUUUUUUAAAUGAACCUUUCCAUCUAUUUGAUGUUGAUGGUCGUGGAUUUUAAGCCAAAUAUAAGUUUGUGAAUGCCGCUUUGAUAUCCUUAACCAGAGAUCCGAGUGUGGUGCUGAACACACUUCUCCCCUUGAUUUAGAAUGUGUGCAUACAAUGUAUAAGUAGUGACGAGUAGGGACAUGUAGACAGUGACCACUAAGGUGACUACUGCAUGUGGCAACGUACAAUACAUUGUCUUAAUUACACUUAGAACCCCCAAAAAGUACAGGAAUCAACCAAAAUAUGGAAACACAUUAACCAUCCUGUUUACUCACUCACUCACUCACUCACUCACUCACUCACUCACUCACUCACUCACUCACUCACUCACUCACUCACUCUCUCUGCUGGUGUCCCAGUACAUGUAUGUAGGCAAUGUCAUGGCUUGAGGCAUAGACAUAGCGAGCAGAUUGUGUUUACCCAGGCAUUAAGAUGCACAUAAAGCUUAUGUAACUCUUCUUUUAAGGUCUUCACUGGACUUAUUUGGUCAUUUUCUGCAACUGUUCAAAAUAAAUGACACACUGCAACAAAUGUGUUAUUUAUGUUCAAUUAUAAUGUGAAUAACUGUAAGAAAAGUAUAUUCUAUUAAUAAAAUGUGAC